CGCCUCUUGACUAAACAUAAGAGGUCCGACCUGCCCAGUGACAUCACUUCAACGGCCGCGGUACUCUGACCGCGCUAAGGUAGCACAAUCACUUGUCUCCUAAAUAGGGACUAGUAUCAAAGGACCCACGAGAAUCCAACUGUCUCCUUUUUUUAAUCUGUGAAACUAAUCUCCUCGUGAAAAAGCGAGAAUGACCAUAUAAGACGAGAAGACCCUACGGAGCUUUAGAUAAAACAACACUUUCUUUCCCCUGUCACCUUCAGAGUACCACCCGCUAAAGCAUUUUAUUGUUUAUCUUCGGUUGGGGCGACCGCGGAGUAAAAUCUACCCUCCACGCUGAAUGAGGACACCCCUCCUCCCCCCGAGCCACAGCUCUACGCAUCAAAAAAUUGACAAUUGACCCAAUAUUUGAUCAACGAAACAAGUUACCCUAGGGAUAACAGCGCAAUCUACUUCAAGAGUCCAUAUUGACAAGUGGGUUUACGACCUCGAUGUUGGAUCAGGGUACCCUAGUGGUGCAGCCGCUACUAAAGGUUUGUGUGUUCAACAAUUAAAACCCUACGUGAUCUGAGU
rnacentral:rRNA from 1 species